UACGUAGGUGGCAAGCGUUGUCCGGAAUUAUUGGGCGUAAAGCGCGCGCAGGCGGUCUUUUAAGUCUGAUGUGAAAGCCCACGGCUCAACCGUGGAAGUGCAUCCGAAACGGCAUCGCUUGAGUCUCGGAGAGGAAGGUGGAAUGCUUGGUGUAGAGGUGAAAUUCGUAGAUAUCAAGCAGAACACCUGCGGCGAAGGCGGCCUUCUGGACGAUGACUGACGCUGAGACACGAAAGCGUGGGGAGCAAACAGG
rnacentral:rRNA from 1 species